CGUAACAAGGUUUCCGUAGGUGAACCUGCGGAAGGAUCAUUACCUAGAGUUUGUAGACUUCGGUCUGCUACCUCUUACCCAUGUCUUUUGAGUACCUUCGUUUCCUCGGCGGGUCCGCCCGCCGAUUGGACAACAUUCAAACCCUUUGCAGUUGCAAUCAGCGUCUGAAAAAACAUAAUAGUUACAACUUUCAACAACGGAUCUCUUGGUUCUGGCAUCGAUGAAGAACGCAGCGAAAUGCGAUAAGUAGUGUGAAUUGCAGAAUUCAGUGAAUCAUCGAAUCUUUGAACGCACAUUGCGCCCCUUGGUAUUCCAUGGGGCAUGCCUGUUCGAGCGUCAUUUGUACCUUCAAGCUCUGCUUGGUGUUGGGUGUUUGUCUCGCCUCUGCGUGUAGACUCGCCUUAAAACAAUUGGCAGCCGGCGUAUUGGUUUCGGAGCGCAGUACAUCUCGCACUUUGCACUCACAACGACGACGUCCAAAAGUACAUUUUUACACUCUUGACCUCGGAUCAGGUAGGGAUACCCGCUGAACUUAAGCAUAUCA
rnacentral:rRNA from 1 species